UGAUAGCGUAGAAGCGUGAGGUUGCUGCUUUGCCGAGAGGCACUGCAGGUUUUCCGUGGAGCGAAUGUCAAGAGACCGGAA
rnacentral:ncRNA from 1 species